rnacentral:rRNA from 1 species
AGAGUUUGAUCAUGGCUCAGGAUGAACGCUAGCUACAGGCUUAACACAUGCAAGUCGAGGGGAAACGACAUCGAAAGCUUGCUUUUGAUGGGCGUCGACCGGCGCACGGGUGAGUAACGCGUAUCCAACCUGCCCACCACUUGGGGAUAACCUUGCGAAAGUAAGACUAAUACCCAAUGACGUCUCUAGAAGACAUCUGAAAGAGAUUAAAGAUUUAUCGGUGAUGGAUGGGGGUGCGUCUGAUUAGCUUGUUGGCGGGGUAACGGCCCACCAAGGCGACGAUCAGUAGGGGUUCUGAGAGGAAGGUCCCCCANAUUGGAACUGAGACACGGUCCAAACUGCUACGGGAGGCA